rnacentral:rRNA from 1 species
UACCAGCAGCUCAAGUGGUGAUCCUUUUUAUUGGGCCUAAAGCGUCCGUAGCCGGUCUGGUAAAUCCUUGGGUAAAUCGUACCGCUUAACGGUACGAACUCUGGGGAGACUGCUAGACUUGGGACUGGGAGAGGUCGGAGGUACUCCUGGGGUAGGGGUGAAAUCCUGUAAUCCUAGGGGGACCACCAGUGGCGAAGGCGUCCGACUAGAACGGAUCCGACGGUGAGGGACGAAGCCGUGGGGCACAAACCGGAUUAGAUACCCGGGUAGUCCACGGUGUAAACGCUGCGAGCUUGGUGUUGGGGGUCCUACGAGGGCGCCCAGUGCCGGAGAGAAGUUGUUUAGCUCGCCGCCUGGGGAGUACGAUCGCAAGAUUGAAACUUAAAGGAAUUGGCGGGGGAGCACCGCAACGGGUGGAGCGUGCGGUUC